rnacentral:sRNA from 1 species
AUCCGGUAGGUAAGGCUACCGUGGGGAUAUGGGUCGCUGCCGCAAAGGGAUGGAGACAUCCUUCGUUGGUUUGAACAGGUCCUGUCGAACAGAAGGCAGGAUUUAACGCGACUUCACCGCCCCGCGACGCUAAAGCUUGGACGGUGG